rnacentral:lncRNA from 1 species
AUAUAGUGUAUGACAUUGGAGGGUAAGCUUAUUUUUGUUUUUUUAUUAUACAGUCUAUGAGGUAUUGGAGAGGAAUAAAUUAUAAUUUAGUUUUUUUAUAAUGAACUGUAUGAGGUAUUGGAGGCGAAUAAAUUAGAAGUUAGUUGUUUUUAUAUUGAAGUGUACGAGGUAUUGGUGGGGACUAAAUUAUUGAAAGGUUUGAUAAAGAUGUAUAUGCUGUGAUUGACAAAUUUUGACUUAUAUAAAGGUUUG